AGACGGAUAUCCACAUCCCCAGCUGAGUUGUUUCUGCUUGUGAAUAUUGUGGGUCGUCCCCGGCAGAGUAGCAGGUUUUCCCCAAAGCAGUCUAUUUUAUCUGAGGCUGGUACGGGUCUUAUCCCCAGAGAGUUGCUUGAUUUAGCUUCCCCAGCGGAACUUUUAUUUCCCCAAGCGGAAUUUUUUGUGGAUUGAUUGGGCUAUCCCCAGCAGUUUACCUUUGGUUU
rnacentral:lncRNA from 1 species